GGGGGGCGGGGGGGGGGGGGGGGGGGCGUGCGAGUCGGGCGGGGGGGCCCUUGCGGGGGUACACGCGUGGCGGCCGGGUGAGUAACACUUGAGUAACCUGCCCCCCCCUUUUGGAUAACGCUAUUAACCUGGUUCUACUACUGGAUAUGUGCUCCUGCUUCAUGUUUUUGGUUGUAAAGCUCCGGCGGUUUUUGAUGGACUCUCUGCCUAUCAGCUUGUUGGUGGGGUAGGUGCCUAACAAGGCGGCGACGGGUAGCCGGCCUGAGAGGGUGACAGUCCCAAUUGGGACGGAGAUAGGGCCCAGACUCAUAAGGGAGGCAGCAGUGGGGAAUAUUGAACAAUGGGCGCAAGACUGAUGAAGCAACGCCGCGUGCGGGAUGACGGCCUUCGGGUUGUAAACCGCUUUCAGCAGGGACGAAGCUUUUUGUGACGGUACCUGCAGAAGAAGCACCGGCUAACUACGUG
rnacentral:rRNA from 1 species